rnacentral:rRNA from 1 species
GAGCCAAGAUUGAAAGCUGGCGUCUUCGGCGUCCGCAUUGUAAUCUCAAGAAGUGUUUUCCGCUUCGGACCAUGCCUAAGUCCCUUGGAAAAGGGCAUCAUAGAGGGUGAUAAUCCCGUACAUGGCAUGGAGCGCCCGAAGCUUUGUGAUACACUUUCUAAGAGACGAGUUGUUUGGGAAUGCAGCUCAAAAUGGGUGGUAAAUGCCAUCUAAGGCUAAAUAUUGGGGAGAGACCGAUAGCGAACAAGUACAGUGAUGGAAAGAUGAAAAGAACUUUGAAAAGAGAGUUAAACAGUACGUGAAAUUGCCAAAAGGGAAGGGUAGGAGGUCAGAGAUGCGGCCUGGGAUUCAGCCUUGCUUUUGCUUGGUGUUUUUCCCAGAUUGCAGGCCAACGUCGGUUUUGGGCACUGGAGAAGGGUAGGAGGAACGUGGCACCUCUCGGGGUGUGUUAUAGCCUCCUACUGGAUACAGCGACCGAGACCGAGGACAGCAGCGUACUCGCAAGAGCGGGCCUUCGGGCACCUUUACGCUUAGGGCGUUGGCAUAAUGGCCCUCUACCACCCGUCUUGAAACACAGACCAC